GGUUAAGCGACUAAGCGUACACGGUGGAUGCCCUGGCAGUCAGAGGCGAUGAAGGGCGUGCUAAUCUGCGAUAAGCGCCGGUAAGGUGAUAUGAACCGUUAUAACCGGCGAUACCCGAAUGGGGAAACCCAGUGUGAUUCGUCACACUAUCAUUAACUGAAUCCAUAGGUUAAUGAGGCGAACCGGGGGAACUGAAACAUCUAAGUACCCCGAGGAAAAGAAAUCAACCGAGAUUCCCCCAGUAGCGGCGAGCGAACGGGGAGGAGCCCAGAGCCUGAAUCAGCAUGUGUGUUAGUGGAAGCGUCUGGAAAGGCGCGCGAUACAGGGUGACAGCCCCGUACACAAAAGCGCAUGUGCUGUGAGCUCGAUGAGUAGGGCGGGACACGUGGUAUCCUGUCUGAAUAUGGGGGGACCAUCCUCCAAGGCUAAAUACUCCUGACUGACCGAUAGUGAACCAGUACCGUGAGGGAAAGGCGAAAAGAACCCCGGCGAGGGGAGUGAAAAAGAACCUGAAACCGUGUACGUACAAGCAGUGGGAGCACCCUUUGGGGUGUGACUGCGUACCUUUUGUAUAAUGGGUCAGCGACUUAUAUUCUGUAGCAAGGUUAACCGUAUAGGGGAGCCGGAGGGAAACCGAGUCUUAAUUGGGCGUUAAGUUGCAGGGUAUAGACCCGAAACCCGGUGAUCUAGCCAUGGGCAGGUUGAAGGUUGGGUAACACUAACUGGAGGACCGAACCGACUAAUGUUGAAAAAUUAGCGGAUGACCUGUGGCUGGGGGUGAAAGGCCAAUCAAACCGGGAGAUAGCUGGUUCUCCCCGAAAGCUAUUUAGGUAGCGCCUCGUGAAUUCAUCUCCGGGGGUAGAGCACUGUUUCGGCUAGGGGGCCAUCCCGGCUUACCAACCCGAUGCAAACUGCGAAUACCGGAGAAUGUUAUCACGGGAGACACACGGCGGGUGCUAACGUCCGUCGUGAAGAGGGAAACAACCCAGACCGCCAGCUAAGGUCCCAAAGUCAUGGUUAAGUGGGAAACGAUGUGGGAAGGCCCAGACAGCCAGGAUGUUGGCUUAGAAGCAGCCAUCAUUUAAAGAAAGCGUAAUAGCUCACUGGUCGAGUCGGCCUGCGCGGAAGAUGUAACGGGGCUAAACCAUGCACCGAAGCUGCGGCAGCGACGCUGAUGCGUUGUUGGGUAGGGGAGCGUUCUGUAAGCCUGUGAAGGUGUGUCGUGAGGCAUGCUGGAGGUAUCAGAAGUGCGAAUGCUGACAUAAGUAACGAUAAAGCGGGUGAAAAGCCCGCUCGCCGGAAGACCAAGGGUUCCUGUCCACGUUAAUCGGGGCAGGGUGAGUCGACCCCUAAGGCGAGGCCGAAAGGCGUAGUCGAUGGGAAACGGGUUAAUAUUCCCGUACUUGGUGUUACUGCGAAGGGGGGACGGAGAAGGCUAUGUUGGCCGGGCGACGGUUGUCCCGGUUUAAGCGUGUAGGCUGGUUUUCCAGGCAAAUCCGGAAAAUCAAGGCUGAGGCGUGACGACGAGGCACUACGGUGCUGAAGCAACAAAUGCCCUGCUUCCAGGAAAAGCCUCUAAGCAUCAGGUAACAUCAAAUCGUACCCCAAACCGACACAGGUGGUCAGGUAGAGAAUACCAAGGCGCUUGAGAGAACUCGGGUGAAGGAACUAGGCAAAAUGGUGCCGUAACUUCGGGAGAAGGCACGCUGACACGUAGGUGAAGUGAUUUACUCAUGGAGCUGAAGUCAGUCGAAGAUACCAGCUGGCUGCAACUGUUUAUUAAAAACACAGCACUGUGCAAACACGAAAGUGGACGUAUACGGUGUGACGCCUGCCCGGUGCCGGAAGGUUAAUUGAUGGGGUCAGCGCAAGCGAAGCUCCUGAUCGAAGCCCCGGUAAACGGCGGCCGUAACUAUAACGGUCCUAAGGUAGCGAAAUUCCUUGUCGGGUAAGUUCCGACCUGCACGAAUGGCGUAAUGAUGGCCAGGCUGUCUCCACCCGAGACUCAGUGAAAUUGAACUCGCUGUGAAGAUGCAGUGUACCCGCGGCAAGACGGAAAGACCCCGUGAACCUUUACUAUAGCUUGACACUGAACAUUGAGCCUUGAUGUGUAGGAUAGGUGGGAGGCUUUGAAGUGUGGACGCCAGUCUGCAUGGAGCCGACCUUGAAAUACCACCCUUUAAUGUUUGAUGUUCUAACGUGGACCCGUUACCCGGGUUGCGGACAGUGUCUGGUGGGUAGUUUGACUGGGGCGGUCUCCUCCUAAAGAGUAACGGAGGAGCACGAAGGUUGGCUAAUCCUGGUCGGACAUCAGGAGGUUAGUGCAAUGGCAUAAGCCAGCUUGACUGCGAGCGUGACGGCGCGAGCAGGUGCGAAAGCAGGUCAUAGUGAUCCGGUGGUUCUGAAUGGAAGGGCCAUCGCUCAACGGAUAAAAGGUACUCCGGGGAUAACAGGCUGAUACCGCCCAAGAGUUCAUAUCGACGGCGGUGUUUGGCACCUCGAUGUCGGCUCAUCACAUCCUGGGGCUGAAGUAGGUCCCAAGGGUAUGGCUGUUCGCCAUUUAAAGUGGUACGCGAGCUGGGUUUAGAACGUCGUGAGACAGUUCGGUCCCUAUCUGCCGUGGGCGCUGGAGAACUGAGGGGGGCUGCUCCUAGUACGAGAGGACCGGAGUGGACGCAUCACUGGUGUUCGGGUUGUCAUGCCAAUGGCACUGCCCGGUAGCUAAAUGCGGAAGAGAUAAGUGCUGAAAGCAUCUAAGCACGAAACUUGCCCCGAGAUGAGUUCUCCCUGAGACUUUAGGUCUCCUGAAGGAACGUUGAAGACGACGACGUUGAUAGGCCGGGUGUGUAAGCGCAGCGAUGCGUUGAGCUAACCGGUACUAAUGAACCGUGAGGCUUAACCUU
rnacentral:rRNA from 1 species